CCUACGGGAGGCAGCAGUAGGGAAUCUUCCACAAUGGGCGAAAGCCUGAUGGAGCAACGCCGCGUGGGUGAAGAAGGUCUUCGGAUCGUAAAACCCUGUUGUUAGAGAAGAAAGUGCGUGAGAGUAACUGUUCACGUUUCGACGGUAUCUAACCAGAAAGCCACGGCUAACUACGUGCCAGCAGCCGCGGUAAUACGUUGGUGGCAAGCGUUAUCCGGAUUUAAUGGGCGUAAAGGGAACGCAGGCGGGCGUGUAAGCCAGAUGUGAAAGCGGUCGGCUUAACCCGUGUAGUGCAUUGGAAACGGGGAGACUUGAGUGCAGAAGAGGGAAGUGGAACUCCAUGUGUAGCGGUGAAAUGCGUAGAUAUAUGGAAGAACACCAGUGGCGAAGGCGGAUUUCUGGUCUGUAACUGACGCUGAGGUGCGAAAGCGUGGGUAGCAAACAGGAUUAGAUACCCGAGUAGUC
rnacentral:rRNA from 1 species